GCACUCUGCCACUCGGGAGGCAGAAACAAAAAUCAUCAGAAGUUCCCAGUCAUCCUUGGCUGUAUAUGUAGUGUGUGAGGCCAACUCGGGUUACUGAGAUCCUGGCUAACAAAAAGAGUGAAGGGACCUCCAGUGAAGAACACAUUUCUGUACUACUAUCAAGAGGGGGCAACACCCGAGGCCAGCAGCCUAGUGGAAAAGGAAGGAAGGAAUCCUCUUUCAGCGUAGACUCUUGGCCAACCAGCAGCUGAGCGGUGCGGCUUACUCGGGAUCAGCGGAUUCCCCGGGCAGGAGGGCCUGGGCCUGGAGGGUCUGUUCAUACUUCUGCAGCUGGGCCCAGAAACCCAAGUUGGGCUCGGCUUCCGGGCGGGCGCUCUUCACCAACUGUAAUCAGGAAAGCAGCGGUGAGAGAUCGGACAGACAGCCCAGGGCGCAGAGGCUCCGCCCCGAGCGUGAAGGGGCACGCCCCGGAAGAGCCACUCUAUGCGGGGCCCGCCCCGGAAGACUCGCACCUGGAAGGCGCGCUCCAGGCUGAGGCCGCGGUAUCGCAUGAGGUAGGCGGUGCAGACGGCGGCUGAACGGCUGCGGCCGUUCUUGCAGUACACGAGGCAGGAGCCGCUGUCGCGCACCGCAGCCUCCAUGGCGGCACAGGUGGGCUCCAGGUGCGUCAGGAGGUCCUCAGCUGGGUCGUCGAACACGGGUACGCGCAGCUCGGCCACUCCGGGUGCGCGGGGCCCGGGCUGCUGGCGGGAGACGUUGACACACAGGGUGAUGCCUGCGCGCACCAGCAGCUCCGUCGCCCCUGCGGCUCGUGCAUUCCCGAUGAAGAGCGCGGGCGCGACGCGCGCGAACCGCGGCGGCACAGCCUCGGAGGUGCCCAUGACCCCAGCGACCUCGAGGGUCAUCUGGGGGUCGCAGCUGGCGGGGUCCGUGCUCUGGCCGCUAGGAGGCGACCUCGCAGCUCGUUGGGCGGAGCCUCUCCUGGCCUCCCCUCGGCAUUGGCUCAGUCGGCAGUGGGCGGGCCCGGCAGCUGGCGACCUAGCUGCAAGGCCCGCCCCGUCUUCUGCCUGGUCUCGCCCGCUGGCUAGCGUCUUUUGUGAGGGCCUUGGGGCAGGCCCUCUGCCCGGGACAGCAGGCCCCAGCUGCACCUUUAUCCCCUUUCGUUAAAUGCUUCGUAGCAAGUAGUGCCUUGGCUUUCUCAACUUUUGUAAAACAUGUUUCAUAGUCAAUAAAACUACCGCUGAAUGCGUGUCUUCAUA